rnacentral:rRNA from 1 species
UACGCAGGGUGCAAGCGUUAAUCGGAAUUACUGGGCGUAAAGCGUGCGCAGGCGGUUGUGUAAGACAGAUGUGAAAUCCCCGGGCUCAACCUGGGAACUGCAUUUGUGACUGCACAGCUGGAGUGCGGCAGAGGGGGAUGGAAUUCCGCGUGUAGCAGUGAAAUGCGUAGAUAUGCGGAGGAACACCGAUGGCGAAGGCAAUCCCCUGGGCCUGCACUGACGCUCAUGCACGAAAGCGUGGGGAGCAAACAGG